GGUAAUGCCGGGCAGGAAGCCGGGGGAAGACGGAGGUUCCAUGAGGGAUCCGGAAGAACUGGGGGUAAAGGGUGCGGAGGAGGGCGGAUAAGGCAGUGGUGAAAGCCAAGCGCGCAACGAGGGAACGGCAAUUGAGACUGUAAGACUGGAAUGCGUAGGAAGGAACGAGAAUAGGGAGGGUAGCGGGGAAAGGCGUAGAUAUGACAUGGAAGACCAAUUGCGAAGGCAGGGGACUACGAAGUGAUUGACGCUGAGGGACGAAAGCGUGGGGAGCAAACAGGAUUAGAUACCCGAGUAGUC
rnacentral:rRNA from 1 species